rnacentral:rRNA from 1 species
AACGAACGCUGGCGGCAUGCCUAACACAUGCAAGUCGAACGAGACCUUCGGGUCUAGUGGCGCACGGGUGCGUAAAGCGUGGGAACAUGCCCUUAGGUUCGGAAUAACUCCCCGAAAGGGGUGCUAAUACCGGAUAAUGUCUUCGGACCAAAGAUUUAUCGCCUUUGGAUGGGCCCGCGUUGGAUUAGCUAGUUGGUAGGGUAAAAGCCUACCAAGGCGACGAUCCAUAGCUGGUCAGUGAGGAUGAUCAGCCACACUGGGACUGAGACACGGCCCAGACUCCUACGGGAGGCAGCAGUGGGGAAUAUUGGACAAUGGGCGAAAGCCUGAUCCAGCAAUGCCGCGUGAGUGAUGAAGGCCUUAUGGUUGUAAAGCUCUUUUACCCGGGAUGAUAAUGACAGUACCGGGAGAAUAAGCUCCGGCUAACUCCGUG